GCGACGGCGUUUUUUGCUUCGGUCCAGUUACAUGGUCAUACCAGGAUCCAAACACCACUGAAGCCGUAGGGACAGGGACCAAAAAGCCAAGUAGCUGCUCCAGUCUCCCGGCUCCGGUUCGAUCUUGUUCAUGCGGUCAAAGUGGAAAAAUGACACCGCUUCGUCUUUGGCAUUACGGGCCACAUAGACUAUCUGAGAGACACACCGAAGCAGUUGAAGCACAGAGCAAAGACAAGCUGGAAAU